rnacentral:rRNA from 1 species
GACAGAGGUCCCGAGCGUUAGGCGGAAUCACUGGGCUUAAAGCGUGUGUAGGCGGAUCGUUAAGUGCCUUGUGAAAUCCCACGGCUCAACCGUGGAACUGCUGGGCAUACUGCCGAUCUUGAGCCACUUAGGGGCAACCGGAACAAACGGUGGAGCGGUGAAAUGCGUAGAUAUCGUUUGGACGCCAAGUGGUGAAACAGGUUGCUGGGAGUGUGCUGACGCCUGAGACACGAAGGCCAGGGGAGCAAACGGG